UUUACCGAGUGGCGGACGGGUGAGUAACGCGUGGGUAACCUGCCUCAUACAGGGGGAUAACGGUUAGAAAUGACUGCUAAUACCGCAUAAGCGCACAGUACCGCAUGGUACGGUGUGAAAAACUCCGGUGGUAUGAGAUGGACCCGCGUCUGAUUAGGUAGUUGGUGGGGUAACGGCCUACCAAGCCGACGAUCAGUAGCCGACCUGAGAGGGUGACCGGCCACAUUGGGACUGAGACACGGCCCAA
rnacentral:rRNA from 1 species